CCUACGGGAGGCAGCAGUGGGGGAUAUUGCACAAUGGGGGAAACCCUGAUGCAGCGACGCCGCGUGUGGGAAGACGGUCCUCUGGAUUGUAAACCACUGUCCCCAGGGACGAAGAUGACGGUACCUGGGGAGGAAGCUCCGGCUAACUACGUGCCAGCAGCCGCGGUAAUACGUAGGGAGCGAGCGUUGUCCGGAAUUACUGGGUGUAAAGGGAGCGUAGGCGGGACUGCAAGUUGGGUGUCAAAUCUACCGGCUCAACCGGUAGCCGCACUCAAAACUGUAGUUCUUGAGUGAAGUAGAGGCAGGCGGAAUUCCUGGUGUAGCGGUGAAAUGCGUAGAUAUCAAGAGGAACACCGGUGGCGAAGGCGGCCUGCUGGACUGCAACUGACGUUGAGGCCCGAAAGCGUGGGGAGCAAACAGGAUUAGAUACCCUUGUAGUC
rnacentral:rRNA from 1 species